rnacentral:tRNA from 1 species
GCGGAUGUGGCGGAAUUGGCAGACGCACUAGACUUAGGAUCUAGCGCAGCAGCGUGGGGGUUCGAGUCCCUUCAUCCGCACCA